AGGACGAACGCUGGCGGCGUGCUUAACACAUGCAAGUCGAACGGUGAUCCACCUUCGGGUGGUGAUCAGUGGCGAACGGGUGAGUAACACGUGGGCAACCUGCCCCUAGCACUGGGAUAACCCCGGGAAACCGGGGCUAAUACCGGAUAUGACCUCGAGUGGCAUCGCUCGUGGUGGAAAGAUUUAUCAGCUAGGGAUGGGCCCGCGGCCUAUCAGCUUGUUGGUGGGGUAACGCCCACCAAGGCGACGACGGGUAGCCGGCCUGAGAGGGCGACCGGCCACACUGGGACUGAGACACGGCCCAGACUCCUACGGGAGGCAGCAGUGGGGAAUAUUGCGCAAUGGGCGAAAGCCUGACGCAGCGACGCCGCGUGAGGGACGAAGGCCUUCGGGUCGUAAACCUCUUUCAGCAGGAGAAGCGAAGUGACGGUACCUGCAGAAGAAGCACCGGCUAACUACGUGCCAGCAGCCGC
rnacentral:rRNA from 1 species